rnacentral:rRNA from 1 species
AUACGGAGGAUGCAAGCGUUAUCCGGAUUUAUUGGGUUUAAAGGGUGCGUAGGCGGUUUGCUAAGCGGGAGGUGAAAUGCCGGCGCUCAACGUCGGAAGUGCCUCCCGAACUGGUGGACUUGAAUGACUCUGCCGUGGGAGGAAUGUGUAGUGUAGCGGUGAAAUGCUUAGAGAUUACACAGAACACCGAUUGCGAAGGCAUCGCACGAAGGGUUGAUUGACGCUGAGGCACGAAAGCGUGGGGAUCAAACAGGAUUAGAUACCCUGGUAGUCCACGCAGUAAACGAUGAUGGCUAACCGCUGGGCUUAUCAGUUCAGUGGCCAAGCGAAAGCGAUAAGCCAUCCACCUGGGGAGUACGACCGCAAGGUUGAAACUCAAAUGAAUUGACGGGG